rnacentral:rRNA from 1 species
UACGUAGGGUGCAAGCGUUGUCCGGAAUUAUUGGGCGUAAAGAGCUUGUAGGCGGUUUGUCGCGUCUGCUGUGAAAUUUCGGGGCUCAACCCCGAACUUGCAGUGGGUACGGGCAGACUAGAGUGUGGUAGGGGAGACUGGAAUUCCUGGUGUAGCGGUGAAAUGCGCAGAUAUCAGGAGGAACACCGAUGCGAAGGCAGGUCUCUGGGCCAUACUGACGCUGAGAAGCGAAAAGCAUGGGGAGCGAACAGG